rnacentral:lncRNA from 1 species
GAGGGAAAGGAGGAAUAGGGAAAAUUGGUGCUGGUGGUGGAGGUGGUGGUGGUGAUGGAGUUAAACCUGGUAUUACUAUUGGUGGUAAAGGAGGAAAAAAGGAUGGCGGUGGGCUGGGUGGAGGCUGGAAUGGGUUAGGAAUGAGGGGUGCACGUGGGCUUGGAGGAGGCUGGAAUGGGUUAGGGAUGAGGGGUGGUGGGCUUGGUGGCUGGAAUGGGUUGGGAAUGAGUGGUGGGCUUGGUGGUUGAAAAGGGUUGGGAAUAAGAGGAGGUGGUUGAAAGGGGUUUGGAAUGAGGGGAGGAGGCUGAAAUGGAUUAGGAAUCAAUGGUGGUGGAAAAAAUGGAUUUGGAGGAAAAAAGAAAUCUUCAGCUAAAUCUUUAUUUGAUUGAGGUUUGUCUGAACUUUUAGUUGGAUUGGAUUUGAACACUGUAGUUUGAACUUUUGGUGGAAUUUUUGAAAAGGGUUUCACAGAAACAUGUGGAUUGGAGUUUUGAACACUCUGUUUUUUGUUACAAAAGUUUGGCUUUUCUACAGGCUUGAAUGAGAACAACCCUGCUGAGAAUAUGUGUUCUCUUUGAUUUCUUGUCUUAAGACUCAUUGAAGAAGAGGUUGAAACUGAUGCCACCGCACAUUGAAGCUCACUGCUAUUUAUUAACUUGAAAGUACACCCUUUGAUUCUCCUCACAUGUUUCCUCACUUUGAAAGGUAGCUGCACUUUGAAUUCCCCAUUUUCAUCUGUCUUCACUUCUUUCUUGAAUCUUGGUACUGAAUUCCCAUCUUUACAUUCU